UCAGUGGCCAAGGUUCAGGUAUGAUGACCAACCAGACAGCUCGUAAAGCAGCCCAGGUAGUGUCAGUGGAUGGUUGGGUGGAAGCUGCCAUCCGGGUAGAUGGAAUACCCCGGCUGAGCCAUUGGUGUCCCAGGGCCCGGCUGGAAGUUUUCCUCUUCUCUUUGCAGGUUGCAGGGGUUGACACAGGGAUAGGAGCAGCAGUAUUUGGAGGGUAGUACUCCUAUGCUGUAGGAAUACUCGCCAUGUGGUCAGCAUAGGAGUCUGAGCCGUGGCAGAUGCAGUUCAGUGGAACAUGUUGUCAAUCCAGUUCUUGAUGGGAAGGGAAGUUCUGUAACUGGCUGCUCUUUGGAGGAAAAGUUAUCUUAAACUGCUUCAGAGGAUUCCAUGAAGAACAAUGCUUCUAGCCGUGGUUUUCAAAGCGUCAUCUGGGACGCCUGGAGGUCCAUCAGGCCAAGUUAUUUUAAGCCAUCUGUUUCUACAGAUGACACCAGGAAGCUUCCGGACAUCCUCAUUCCAGAGACGCUGAAACGAGGGGAAGACGUGAACACAAUGAACACAGUUCUCAAUAAGAAAACUGGACUUUGCAUUAGGGGUUGUAAAUAUCUUUCUCAGGCUGGUACUUUUAUUUUGACUAAUAUUUUUUAUCAUCAAGAAUGUUUACAUGUUCAUGUGGUCAAAUGUAUCAUUUAUUAAAUAUAUGGAGUAUGAAUUUUGUGUCUGGAGCUUCCCACAGAAAUAUUAUAGAAAAAAAGCCCAUACUUCCCAAGGAACAGUUUUUUUUUGUCUUUUUUACUUUUAAAUUUGUGAUCUAGGGUAUAGGAUAUAGGGUAUGUGUGUAUGUUGUGUGUUCAGUAGAAUGUCUGAGGUAGAAUUUCAGCUUUUUCUCAAACUACCCAGGUUUUCCACUAUCAUCAUAUACUACUAAAUUUUCA